rnacentral:rRNA from 1 species
GACGAACGCUGGCGGCGUGCUUAACACAUGCAAGUCGAACGGAAAGGCCCUGCUUUUGUGGGGUGCUCGAGUGGCGAACGAGUGAGUAACACGUGAGUAACCUGCCCUUGACUUUGGGAUAACUUCAGGAAACUGGGGCUAAUACCGGAUAGGAGCUCCUGCUGCAUGGUGGGGGUUGGAAAGUUUCGGCGGUUGGGGAUGGACUCGCGGCUUAUCAGCUUGUUGGUGGGGUAGUGGCUUACCAAGGCUUUGACGGGUAGCCGGCCUGAGAGGGUGACCGGCCACAUUGGGACUGAGAUACGGCCCAGACUCCUACGGGAGGCAGCAGUGGGGAAUAUUGCACAAUGGGCGGAAGCCUGAUGCAGCAACGCCGCGUGCGGGAUGACGGCCUUCGGGUUGUAAACCGCUUUCGCCUGUGACGAAGCGUGAGUGACGGUAAUGGGUAAAGAAGCACCGGCUAACUACGUGCCAGCAGCCGCGGUGAUACGUAGGGUGCGAGCGUUGUCCGGAUUUAUUGGGCGUAAAGGGCUCGUAGGUGGUUGAUCGCGUCGGAAGUGUAAUCUUGGGGCUUAACCCUGAGCGUGCUUUCGAUACGGGUUGACUUGAGGAAGGUAGGGGAGAAUGGAAUUCCUGGUGGAGCGGUGGAAUGCGCAGAUAUCAGGAGGAACACCAGUGGCGAAGGCGGUUCUCUGGGCCUUUCCUGACGCUGAGGAGCGAAAGCGUGGGGAGCGAACAGGCUUAGAUACCCUGGUAGUCCACGCUGUAAACGGUGGGUACUAGGUGUGGGGUCCAUUCCACGGGUUCCGUGCCGUAGCUAACGCUUUAAGUACCCCGCCUGGGGAGUACGGCCGCAAGGCUAAAACUCAAAGGAAUUGACGGGGCCCCGCACAAGCGGCGGAGCAUGCGGAUUAAUUCGAUGCAACGCGUAGAACCUUACCUGGGUUUGACAUGGAUCGGGAGUGCUCAGAGAUGGGUGUGCCUCUUUUGGGGUCGGUUCACAGGUGGUGCAUGGCUGUCGUCAGCUCGUGUCGUGAGAUGUUGGGUUAAGUCCCGCAACGAGCGCAACCCUUGUACACUGUUGCCAGCACGUUAUGGUGGGGACUCAGUGGAGACCGCCGGGGUCAACUCGGAGGAAGGUGGGGAUGACGUCAAGUCAUCAUGCCCCUUAUGUCCAGGGCUUCACGCAUGCUACAAUGGCUGGUACAGAGAGUGGCGAGCCUGUGAGGGUGAGCGAAUCUCGGAAAGCCGGUCUCAGUUCGGAUUGGGGUCUGCAACUCGACCUCAUGAAGUCGGAGUCGCUAGUAAUCGCAGAUCAGCAACGCUGCGGUGAAUACGUUCCCGGGGCU